rnacentral:rRNA from 1 species
CGGAAUAUUAAGUCAGUGGUGAAAGCCUACAGCUCAACUGUAGAACUGCCAUUGAUACUGAUAUUCUUGAGUAUGGAUGAAGUGGGCGGAAUAUGUCAUGUAGCGGUGAAAUGCAUAGAUAUGACAUGGAACACCAAUUGCGAAGGCAGCUCACUAAACCAUUACUGACGCUCAUGGACGAAAGCGUGGGGAGCGAACAGGAUUAGAUACCCUGGUAGUCCACGCCGUAAACUAUGAUCACUAGAUGUUGGCGAUAUAAUGUCAGCGUUUAAGAGAAAUCGAUAAGUGAUCCACCUGGGGAGUACGUUCGCAAGAAUGAAACUCAAAGGAAUUGACGGGGGCCCGCACAAGCGGAGGAGCAUGUGGUUUAAUUCGAUGAUACGCGAGGAACCUUACCAAGGCUUAAAUGUAAUAUGACCGGCUGAGAAAUCAGCUUUUUUUCGAACAGAUUACAAGGUGCUGCAUGGUUGUCGUCAGCUCGUGCCGUGAGGUGUCGGGUUAAGUCCCAUAACGAGCGCAACCCCUAUUUUUAGUUACCAGCGAGUAAUGUCGGGAACUCUAGAAAAACUGCCUGUGCAAACAGAGAGGAAGGUGGGGAUGACGUCAAAUCAUCACGGCCCUUAUGUCUUGGGCUACACACGUGCUACAAUGGUUACUACAAUGGGCUGCCAUCUGGUGACAGAGAGCAAAUCCACAAAGGUAAUCUCAGUUCGGAUCGGAGUCUGCAACUCGACUCUGUGAAGUUGGAUUCGCUAGUAAUCGUAUAUCAGCAAUGAUACGGUGAAUACGUUCCCGGGCCUUGUACACACCGCCCGUCAAGCCAUGGAAGUUUGGAGUGCCUGAAGUCAGUAACCGCAAGGAACUGCCUAGGGUAAAACGGAUAACUAGGGCU